rnacentral:rRNA from 1 species
GACGAACGCUGGCGGCGUGCUUAACACAUGCAAGUCGAACGAAGGGCGACGGAAGCUUGCUUCUAUCAAUUUUAGUGGCGAACGGGUGAGUAACGCGUAAUCAACCUGCCCUUCAGAGGGGUACAACAGUUGGAAACGACUUCUAAUACCGCAUACGAUCUAAUCUCGUCAUCGAGGAUGGAUGAAAGGUGGCCUCUACACUUAAGCUAUCACUGAAGGAGGGGAUUGCGUCUGAUUAGCUAGCUGGGGAGGUAACGGCCCAACAAUGCGAAGAUCAGUAGCCGGACCUGGAGGAGGGACGGCCCACUUGGGACCGGAGACACGCCCCGAAUUCUACGGGGAGGAGCCGUGGGGAAUCUUUCGGCAUGGACGAAAGUCUGACGGGGGCACGCCGGGUGAGUGAAGAAGGGCCUCGGGUUGUAAAGCUCCGUUAAUCGGGAAGAAAGGCCUUCUUGAGAAUCGUGAGAAGGAUUGACGGUACCGAAAUAGAAAGCCACGGCUAACUACGUG